UUGUGAAGUUUCCUUUCUGUUUUGUUUUGAAUCGCACAUAAGGACGAGCUGCUGUUUCUGCUGACCCUCAAACGGCAAUUUUCCCCUGGAUAAGAAAAGUUAAAGGCAACAACAUUCAAUUUCAGUUCUAGGACUGAUGGGAACCGGCAGCACACAGGCUCGGUUGGCAGAACCUGCCCUGGUAGCAAAUCCCUUAAAUCACAAGCCUAUCUGAGAAGGGGAUAAGCUGGACGGCUCUCGUUCUUUGUGUUUUAUUUCUAAAGAUAGACCAGCUGAAAAAUCCCUCGCCUUUCAACCACCGAUUAGGAAAAGAAGGUGGGGAGGAACGAUCUGUACUUCUCACACCACAAAGGUCAUUCUUUUCUUCUACUUCUUUGAGUCCUUCCAAGAUGAAACAUUUUUUUAAAAAAAAAUUUCUUUUUAAGAAAAUCCUCAAACAAAAGGCAAAAAUCAAAAUCCCAAGAGUCAAGCUGCUGUCCUUGUCCCAGCAGAGAGCAAGUCCUCAUUACAGUCAUGACUCGGCCACUGUGGUCCUGGGUGGGAGCCAGUCUCCCCUAUGGGCCACGCCUGCCUCUUCCCUACUUCCACUCCCCCAGUCUGCUUUGCCCUCACUGUCUGUAUUCUGGAUCGGUUUUGUUCGAGAUUAUGGCAUUCAGUUCCCAUAGAAAAAAAAAGUAAUCUUCACCAGCCACUCUGGCUGGAAUGAAACGUCAAAUGUGAUUCGGGUGCAAUCAGUCAUGCCUCCGAGCAGCACUUCUGGUGGUUUAUUUUGACCUUGUGCUUGAUGCCAUCGUAGAGCUCAAAGUUGUAGUUCUCCAGGGUGGUACAGCUUCGGGACGAGAGCCCCGUGUAGGAACAUGUGCAGUAGAGAAGUAGACCAGCACAGAUGGCCCCGAGCAGGACCCCCAGGGAGCUCAUGGCAAUGAUGGUCACCAGGAUGGGGUCCAGAGUGUACAGCCAGCUCUUCUCCCUGUCCUCUUUGGGAAGGGCUGGACCAGUCGUUGGGGAGGAGGAAUU
rnacentral:lncRNA from 1 species